GAUGAACGCUGGCGGCGUGCCUAAUACACGCAAGUCGAGCGAACGGACGAGAAGCUUGCUUCUCUGAUGUUAGCGGCGGACGGGUGAGUAACACGUGGAUAACCUACCUAUAAGACUGGGAUAACUUCGGGAAACCGGAGCUAAUACCGGAUAAUAUUUUGAACCGCAUGGUUCAAAAGUGAAAGACGGUCUUGCUGUCACUUAUAGAUGGAUCCGCGCUGCAUUAGCUAGUUGGUAAGGUAACGGCUUACCAAGGCAACGAUGCAUAGCCGACCUGAGAGGGUGAUCGGCCACACUGGAACUGAGACACGGUCCAGACUCCUACGGGAGGCAGCAGUAGGGAAUCUUCCGCAAUGGGCGAAAGCCUGACGGAGCAACGCCGCGUGAGUGAUGAAGGUCUUCGGAUCGUAAAACUCUGUUAUUAGGGAAGAACAUAUGUGUAAGUAACUGUGCACAUCUUGACGGUACCUAAUCAGAAAGCCACGGCUAACUACGUGCCAGCAGCCGCGGUAAUACGUAGGUGGCAAGCGUUAUCCGGAAUUAUUGGGCGUAAAGCGCGCGUAGGCGGUUUUUUAAGUCUGAUGUGAAAGCCCACGGCUCAACCGUGGAGGGUCAUUGGAAACUGGAAAACUUGAGUGCAGAAGAGGAAAGUGGAAUUCCAUGUGUAGCGGUGAAAUGCGCAGAGAUAUGGAGGAACACCAGUGGCGAAGGCGACUUUCUGGUCUGUAACUGACGCUGAUGUGCGAAAGCGUGGGGAUCAAACAGGAUUAGAUACCCUGGUAGUCCACGCCGUAAACGAUGAGUGCUAAGUGUUAGGGGGUUUCCGCCCCUUAGUGCUGCAGCUAACGCAUUAAGCACUCCGCCUGGGGAGUACGACCGCAAGGUUGAAACUCAAAGGAAUUGACGGGGACCCGCACAAGCGGUGGAGCAUGUGGUUUAAUUCGAAGCAACGCGAAGAACCUUACCAAAUCUUGACAUCCUUUGACAACUCUAGAGAUAGAGCCUUCCCCUUCGGGGGGGCAAAGUGACAGGUGGUGCAUGGUUGUCGUCAGCUCGUGUCGUGAGAUGUUGGGUUAAGUCCCGCAACGAGCGCAACCCUUAAGCUUAGUUGCCAUCAUUAAGUUGGGCACUCUAAGUUGACUGCCGGUGACAAACCGGAGGAAGGUGGGGAUGACGUCAAAUCAUCAUGCCCCUUAUGAUUUGGGCUACACACGUGCUACAAUGGACAAUACAAAGGGCAGCGAAACCGCGAGGUCAAGCAAAUCCCAUAAAGUUGUUCUCAGUUCGGAUUGUAGUCUGCAACUCGACUACAUGAAGCUGGAAUCGCUAGUAAUCGUAGAUCAGCAUGCUACGGUGAAUACGUUCCCGGGUCU
rnacentral:rRNA from 1 species